rnacentral:rRNA from 1 species
UACGAAGGGGGCUAGCGUUGCUCGGAAUCACUGGGCGUAAAGGGUGCGUAGGCGGGUUUUUAAGUCAGGGGUGAAAUCCUGGAGCUCAACUCCAGAACUGCCUUUGAUACUGAAGAUCUUGAGUCCGGGAGAGGUGAGUGGAACUGCGAGUGUAGAGGUGAAAUUCGUAGAUAUUCGCAAGAACACCAGUGGCGAAGGCGGCUCACUGGCCCGGUACUGACGCUGAGGCACGAAGCGUGGGAAGCAACAGGGA